GGCCCCCUGUAGUGCUUAGAUGGUGGGUCUGGCCUGCCCAGUGACUGUAUGGUUAAACGGCCGCGGAAUAUUAACUGUGCGAAGGUAGCGUAAUAAUUUGCCUAUUAAUUGUGGGCUAGUAUGAAUGGUCUGACGAGGGUUAAGCUGUCUCUUCAUGAUAUAUUUGGAAAUUAUUUUUUAGGUGAAGGUACCUAAAUAUUACUAAGGGACGAUAAGACCCUGUCGAGCUUAAGCGGAAUUUUAGGUGUGACUGAUCAAAUUUGAAAUUGGUUUAAUUAUUGCUAAAAUGAAUUUUUGACUGGGGCGGUCAGGGAGUAGAAAGAACCUUCUGUUUAAUGUAUUUGCUUUUUGGCAUGUGAUCUAGCUUGUUGCGGAGCAUAAGAAAAAGUUACCGCAGGGAUAACAGCGUAAUUUUUUUGGAGAGUUCUUAUUGAGAAAAAAGUUUGCGACCUCGAUGUUGGACUAAGGUGUCCUGAAGGUGCAGAAGCUUUCAAGGGUUAGUCUGUUCGACUAUUAAAACCUUACA
rnacentral:rRNA from 1 species